UCUCUCUCUCUCUCUCUCUCUCUCUGUUACCAGACAGCAGCAGCAAGUUUCUCUCUUCUUUUUUUGGGCCAAAUCCUUCCUCUAUUGGCUACAUCUUCUUAUCUUGGGUGGGCAACUUGGCAACAACAUCUUCUCUUCUCCUUUUGUCACCAACAAGGUAUUAUUCUCAUUCUCUCCUUUGCUAUAUAUCUUUAAUUAUAGUUUUAAUUUAAAAUUGAGUAUUCUAGGGUUUAAUUAGGGAUGAAUUAUAAUUUUGAGAUUUUUUUUGAAAUUAAUUAGGGCUUUGAUUAGGGAUGAAUUAUUCUAAAGCUUUAAUUUGAGAUUUUGUUAAAAUUGAGUAUUGUAGGGUUUAAUUAUGGAUGAAUUAUAAUUUUUGGUUUGGUUUCAUUGAGAUGCUAUUAUGAGAAUUUGUUUGAUUUUUUGUUGGUAUAUGUUAUUAAUUUUUUUUUCUAAUUCAUAGGCUAUCUUUUAUUAUGUCGGAUCACAAUCGGAAUCCCAAGAGAACAAAGAUGUUAUAGAUUGCAUGUUGAGGGAGUUAAAUGAUAGAUUUCAGGAGCAAACAGUUAAACUUCUUACCCAUAGCUCACCAUUGGAUCCUCGUAAUUCCUUCAAGUCAUUUAAUAUUGAGCAUAUAUGUAAACUUGCCGAGAAAUUCUAUCCUGCUGAUUUCCUUCCACAUGAGUUGAAAGCUUUAGAAACAGAGCUCAUGUAUUUUCAAAAUGAUAUACAUCGCAUUCCUUGCUUUAAGGAAACCACUACUCUUCCUCAGUUAUGUCAACAAUUGGUGGAAACAACUUUGGCAAUAAACUAUGUUUUCCUUGACAGGUUGAUUCGGUUGGUGUUGACCCUUUCUGUUUCUACAACAACAACAAAACGAGCUUUCUCAUGUAUGAGAAUUAUUAAGAAUCGACUUCGAAGCACCUUAGCUGAUAAAUUUCUUGCUGACUGUAUGAUCCUCCACAUUGAGAGAGAGUUUGCAAAUAAUAUCGAUAAUGCAUCAAUAAUUGAGGAAUUAAGAGUUCCAAGCCUCGCAGGGUUAAAUUUUAGAUUUAAAUAGUGUUCUUUUCUAUUGCAUUGCAUUUACUUUUGGUUUUAGUUUUAGAUUUUGUAUUUGUUGAACUUUUAUUUAUGGAUAGAGAUGCAUUUGAGGGUAAGGC
rnacentral:lncRNA from 1 species